rnacentral:rRNA from 1 species
CCUACGGGAGGCAGCAGUGGGGAAUAUUGCACAAUGGGGGAAACCCUGAUGCAGCGACGCCGCGUGAGUGAAGAAGUAUUUCGGUAUGUAAAGCUCUAUCAGCAGGGAAGAAAAUGACGGUACCUGAGUAAGAAGCCACGGCUAACUACGUGCCAGCAGCCGCGGUAAUACGUAGGGGGCAAGCGUUAUCCGGAUUUACUGGGGGUAAAGGGAGCGUAGACGGCAGCGCAAGUCUGAAGUGAAAUGCCGGGGCUUAACCCCGGAACUGCUUUGGAAACUGUGCAGCUAGAGUGCAGGAGAGGUAAGUGGAAUGUCUAGUGUAGCGGUGAAAUGCGUAGAUAUUAGGAAGAACACCAGUGGCGAAGGCAGCUUACUGGACUGUAACUGACGUUGAGGCACGAAAGCGUGGGGAGCAAACAGGAUUAGAUACCCGAGUAGUC